AGAGAACCACUUAAUUUUGGAAUCUGAUCCAGAGCGCGGUGGAAAGGCAGAGUAUGCUUUUGACAAUCCAGGAUUCAAAGAUACGACUAUAUUGGCGACGACUGAAAAAAGUUCAAAGUUAGACAGUGGCAACAAAGCAAAAUGGACACACUGGGCUCCAUUGUCCGGUCUUCACUUAAAGUCAUCA